GCAAUGCGUGGCAUACGGCUCAGUAACACGUAGUCAACAUGCCCAGGGGACGUGGAUAACCUCGGGAAACUGAGGAUAAACCGCGAUAGGCCAAGGUUUCUGGAAUGGACACUGGCUGAAACCUAUAUGGCCCCUGGAUUGGACUGCGGCCGAUCAGGCUGUUGGUGAGGUAAUGGCCCACCAAACCUGUAACCGGUACGGGCUUUGAGAGAAGGAGCCCGGAGAUGGGCACUGAGACAAGGGCCCAGGCCCUAUGGGGCGCAGCAGGCGCGAAAAUUCUGCAAUAGGCGAAAGCUUGACAGAGUUACUCUGAGUGAUGCCCGCUAAGGGCAUCUUUUGGCACCUCUAAAAAUGGUGCAGAAUAAGGGGUGGGCAAGUCUGGUGUCAGCCGCCGCGGUAAUACCAGCACCCCGAGUGGUCGGGACGAUUAUUGGGCCUAAAGCAUCCGUAGCUUGUUCUGCAAGUCUUCCGUUAAAUCCACCUGCUCAACAGAUGGGCUGCGGGAGAUACUACAGGGCUAGGAGGCGGGAGAGGCAAGCGGUACUCAGUGGGUAGGGGUAAAAUCCUCUGAUCCACUGAAGACCACCAGUGGCGAAGGCGGCUUGCCAGAACGCGCUCGACGGUGAGGGAUGAAAGCUGGGGGAGCAAA
rnacentral:rRNA from 1 species